rnacentral:rRNA from 1 species
CGAACGCUGGCGGCGUGCCUAACACAUGCAAGUCGAACGAUGAUUAAGAGCUUGCUCUUAUGAUUAGUGGCGCACGGGUGAGUAACGCGUGGAAAUCUACCUAUCAGUGGGGGACAACUUUCGGAAACGGAAGCUAAUACCGCAUACGCCCUACGGGGGAAAGCGGGGGACCUUCGGGCCUCGUGCUGAUAGAUGAGUCCGCGUCUGAUUAGCUAGUUGGUAGGGUAAAGGCCUACCAAGGCGAUGAUCAGUAUCUGGUUUGAGAGGAUGAUCAGACACACUGGAACUGAGACACGGUCCAGACUUCUACGGAAGGCAGCAGUGGGGAAUAUUGCACAAUGGGCGCAAGCCUGAUGCAGCGACGCCGCGUGUGGGAAGAAGGCUUUCGGGUUGUAAACCACUUUCAAUUGGGAAGAAGAGAAGAGUAUUAAUAGUAUUCUGAUUUGACGGUACCUUUAGAAGAAGCACCGGCUAAUUUC